rnacentral:snoRNA from 1 species
AGCACUUGUGUUUGUUCUUGAUUAACUGAGGACAAAGACUGAUAGACAGGUACAAAAAAAUAAAUCCUCAUUUGAAUCCCAGAAUUCAUUGUUCAGGGUCAGUUUUGAUACAUAAAAGCAUAUU